GGAUUAGCGUUUGGAUUGGAAGUAUACAUGAUGCGCGACUGACAGUCGCCAUUUACUCGCAUACUUUACCGACUAUAUAGUCGUGUGGAUAUGGUCGUACCGGCUGGGGAUUUGCAUAUGGACUGCUGCUAUAUCGGUCAGCGGUCAUUCAUCAAAAAAUUCUUAAUUAUGAUUUUUGAAGACGCUUCGAGCCUUCGAAGUUCGAAGCACAUGAACAAUGAUACCGUCGAUUGCAACUAAGCAGAAACAUGUCAUGAGAAAACACGUCCAAUUGGCUGUCAAACAUGAUUUGUUUGGACUUGAAAUAUUGACAGUCAACUGUCAAUAUUUCAAAUUUAGAAACACAUUCAUAUUGGGCGGGGAUUAGCUUGCAAACACUAAAUCUGUGAUUAAAUUCGCCUGAAUUAAAUUCGACGUAUGAAACAGGCCUUAUAUUUUGCGUUUAUAGUGGAC